rnacentral:rRNA from 1 species
CCGAGUUUACAACUCCCAAACCCCUGUGAACAUACCCAUCGUUGCCUCGGCGGUGCCCGCUCCGGCGGCCCGCCAGAGGACCCCCAAACUCUUGUUUUAUACAGCAUCUUCUGAGUAACACGAUUAAAUAAAUCAAAACUUUCAACAACGGAUCUCUUGGUUCUGGCAUCGAUGAAGAACGCAGCGAAAUGCGAUAAGUAAUGUGAAUUGCAGAAUUCAGUGAAUCAUCGAAUCUUUGAACGCACAUUGCGCCCGCCAGUAUUCUGGCGGGCAUGCCUGUUCGAGCGUCAUUUCAACCCUCAAGCCCCCGGGCUUGGUGUUGGGGAUCGGCGUGCCCUUCGCGGCGCGCCGUCCCCUAAAUCUAGUGGCGGUCUCGCUGCAGCUUCCUCUGCGUAGUAGCACACCUCGCACCGGAGAGCAGCGCGGCCACGCCGUUAAACCCCCCACUUCUGAAAGGUUGACCUCGGAUCAGGUAGGAAUACCCGCUGAACUUAAGCAU